rnacentral:rRNA from 1 species
UUCGCAAUGCCCGAAAGGGUGACGAAGCGACGCCGCGUGUGGGAAGAAGGCCUUCGGGUUGUAAACCACUGUCGGGAGUUAAGAAAUGCAAGGAUAUUAAUAGUGUCUUUGCUUGACUAAGGCUCCGGAGGAAGCCACGGCUAACUCUGUGCCAGCAGCCGCGGUAAUACAGAGGCGGCAAGCGUUGUUCGGAAUUAUUGGGCGUAAAGAGCACGUAGGCGGCUAUGUAAGUCGGUUGUGAAAGCCUUCCGCUCAACGGAAGAACAGCAUCCGAUACUACAUGGCUUGAGUGCGGGAGGGGAGAGUGGAACUUCUGGUGGAGCGGUGAAAUGCGUAGAUAUCAGAAGGAACGCCGGCGGCGAAAGCGGCUCCCUGGCCCAUAACUGACGCUGAGUGUGCGAAAGCUAGGGGAGCAAACGGGAUUAGAUACCCCGGUAGUCCUAGCCGUAAACGAUGGGCACUAAGUAGAGGGGUUUU